UACGAAGGGGGCUAGCGUUGUUCGGAAUUACUGGGCGUAAAGCGCGUGUAGGCGGCCAAGCAAGUCGGAUGUGAAAGCCCUCGGCUCAACCGGGGAAGUGCACUCGAAACUGCAUGGCUAGAGUCUCGGAGAGGAUCGUGGAAUUCUCGGUGUAGAGGUGAAAUUCGUAGAUAUUGGGAAGAACACCGGUGGCGAAGGCGGCUCACUGGCUCAUUUCUGACGCUCAGGCGCGACAGCGUGGGGAUCAAACAGG
rnacentral:rRNA from 1 species